rnacentral:lncRNA from 1 species
AACCACGCACGCCUCUUCCCUCCCCAUUUUCGUCAUUGAAAAAAAUAUUAAACACAAAAUCCACAUAAUUUCUCUCUAAAUAACUUAGCCUUGUGAUUUUCACAUCUUUCGAAUACCAAAAUCUCUUCCAAAUUUAAAGAAAUUCGUUAAAAAACAACAUCAAUCCCUUCAUACAUUUUCCAAACAAUAUUUCACAAAAUUAAAUCUUUGGUUCAUUUUUCUUCUCAGACGAGGUAAGGUUCUAAUUCCCUCUUGGAGUUUUAUGUAUUUUAACCCUUCAAAUCAAGUUUUGAUCCAUUUAGAAAGAAUUUUAUGUUUUAGUCAAAAUUGAGAUUAAUAAUGGUAGAAUUUGGGUUUUCAAACUAGAAUAUUAUUUCUAAGUAUUUUUAGGCUUUCUAUGAUGAGAUUAGAAGGUUUCUAAACUUACUUUAAUCAAUCGUUAAGAGAUUUGAAAGAUUUAACAAUUUUUAUUCAAAGUGUUCACGAACGUUGAAUUUUCUAGAAACUUUAAAUCUAAAUUUCUAGGUGUUUUCAUGGUUAAGAUCUAUUGUAAAAUGAAUAAUUAGAUGUUUAGAAUUGAUUUUAAGCAAUAGAAACAUGUCUGGAUCAAGAAAUCAAAGUUUCGACUAAACUAGUUAAAAUUUUUGCUUUAAAAAGGAGUUAGGUUGAAUUUUCUUUUAGUUUGAUUUCUAAUGUGUUUGUGGUUAUUAAUGAUUGUACGUAUUGUAUGUAUUAUGUUUAUGAAGUUUUGAAACUGUUGGAGCUCUCUACGAGCAAGGCAAAAGGUAAGGUGAAACUUAUUUAAGCUUUUGGCUAGCAAGUGAAAAGAAGAUCAAUGAGUUGCUGUUGAUACACUCAAUCCAUAGUGUUAAUUGAGAGCUUAGGAUUAGCCUAAACCCCUAUCCUAAAUUCUGACUGUAAGCAUUUCCUAUAUUUUUUUCCUUGUUGUAAAAUCAUGUCUAAGUAAGAUGAGUUGUGAUAUGUGAUGCUAAUACAACAGGUAAUAUGUGGAAAUACAUGAAUGUGAUAUGUGAUUUACUAAUUUUAAUGCACACAUAUAAGGUCUUAUAUAUGAUAACUUAUUGAGCAAUAUUAUGGCACUUGAGGUGCAAUUAAAUAUGAAUCCGAUGUGUAUUGUGUAGGAGAUUGUGAUGUGAAACUGAUGAGCAUGAACAUAGGAUAUGUGCAUUAAAAUAGUAAAUAAAUAUGUUUAAUUGUGGAUAUUUUGGCCUUGAGAUAUCUUGAAAUCGUUGGAUACUAUAGAAUUGUGAGUACUCACCUUUGUAUUUUGUGAUUUGGGCUUUGAGGCCCCGGGACGGGCUGGAGAGAUAAGAGAAUAUCGAGCUAAGCUCCAUUCAUUGACACAUGCUGGUUUGUUGGAGAGUGUUUAGCUUAAUAAUACACUUUUAGGACAUGUUAGACUCUUUUAGUUAUUAGUGUGAUGGAGAUCCGUUUAUCUAAUGUGUGGUGAUUGAGUCUACUUAUAUGUUUCGUAACCUCAAGCUGUCAAAUUAUCAUUAUGUGGAUUAUAUAUGAAUUAUGUUGUGUGUGAAUACAUGUGAAAGAAUAUGCUAAACUUGUGAGAUAAUGAAUCAUGGAAAUGUUCUUUUGACUUGAUGAAAAAGAGGUUGUGAAUGUGCCUUAGUAUGCUUUUGCUUAACUUAUGUUAUUGUGUAUUCUUAGCAAUACUUCCAGACAUUCAUUGAGCUUGAAAAAGAUAACACUCUUUUCCCAAAAUUUGCAGGCUAGUAGUGCAUCCAAGGAGCGAACAGUGGGAAAGUGUGGUGAUCCAUCCAAGGCAUAACAUUCGAGUAGGUGUUUUUGUGGUUUGAACACUUUGAACAAAGGUAAUGUGGGUUAUUAUUAUCUUGGAACUAGACUCAUGGCCUAUUGAUUUUAUUUUUGGACUACGAUUAUGGAUAUUUUGAUGCUUGAGGAUGAUAUUGAAAACGCAUGUUGUGUUUUCUUGAUGAAUAUGUAAUAAUGUGGCAUGUAUAAUGGUGUAAAAGUUUUAAUAGGCUUAAACAAUAUUCUGGAAGUUCGAGCAUGUUUAAAAUGACCAAACGGAUCAAAAUAGACAUUUAGGAUCCUUAGUAAACCUCGAUAUGUUGGUUUGAUAUGUUGGGUAGUGAUUUCUUACAGUAAAAGUAUGGUUGCUAGCUGAUCAGUACAUGGUAUGUCAAAUUUUUCUAUGAUAUGUAAUGGUGUAUAUAAGCAUGUUCCAAUUGAUGUAUGAAUGUAUUAUGACUUGAUCGAAUAGGGUUUAGGCCUUUAAUGCACGAAAUGAUAAGCUGGGUAGUGUCAAAAUGUUGGUUUGCCAAAUUGCAGGCCUAUUUGCUGCAGAAUUGCAAGGCACGUCGAGAUGACGUUUGAAUGUCGUCAGGUCAUGAGUUUGGUGUCGAGACAUCCUUAUCAUGUUGCCAGGAAAAGGGCCAUCCUUCAGGGUACGUUGCGAUGUGAAGCAUUGCAUCGUAGAAACAUGGCGCAUGUGCUCUAAAGGCCAAUUUUUUGAGCUUUGCAAAUUAGUCUUUAGAUUUUGGUGAUGAAAUUGGAGUCCAAAACGUUUACGAAAUGCUUUGAAAAUUCACAUACCAAAGUCCUAGAUGUUUAAUUUCACAAAUCUACUGAUGAUUUGGUAAUUUUAUUAUUUUAAUAUUAUGAGAACUUUUUGAUUUAGCCCCUAAGAUACUUGUUUUUAAAGUUAACUAAGAAUUUCUAAUCAAACUAAACGGAUUCUUCACUAAAUGUUUCUAAAAAGAUGUUGGAAUUAAAAUGUACCUUUAAAUCGAUGUUACACGUGUUUUUGUGUAAGUUUGAGAUCAAAUGAUUAUUUUACCC